rnacentral:rRNA from 1 species
AAACUAACAAGGAUUCCCCUAGUAACGGCGAGUGAACCGGGAAAAGCUCAAAUUUGAAAUCUGGCGUCCUCAGGGCGUCCGAGUUGUAAUCUAUAGAGGCGUUUUCCGUGCCGGACCGUGUCCAAGUCCCUUGGAACAGGGUAUCAAAGAGGGUGACAAUCCCGUACUUGACACGACUACCGGUGCUCUGUGAUACGUCUUCUACGAGUCGAGUUGUUUGGGAAUGCAGCUCAAAAUGGGUGGUGAGUUCCAUCUAAAGCUAAAUAUUGGCGAGAGACCGAUAGCGAACAAGUACCGUGAGGGAAAGAUGAAAAGCACUUUGGAAAGAGAGUUAAACAGUACGUGAAAUUGUUGAAAGGGAAACGAUUGAAGUCAGUCGUGACCGAGAGGCUCAGCCGGCUCUGCCGGUGUAUUCCCCUCGGUCGGGUCAACAUCAGUUUUGUCCGGUGGAUAAGGGCGGUAGGAAGGUGGCACCCACGGGUGUGUUAUAGCCUGCCGUCACAUACACUGGGUGAGACUGAGGAAUGCAGCUCGCCUUUAUGGCCGGGGUUCGCCCACGUCCGAGCUUAGGA